GAAAAUGCAUCUCUCUUAGACAAGUAAUUGUUCCCUAUUUUUAUCAGGGUCCAGUCUUUUUCCUACAGUCAGAAGGAUUUUAACCAGUGUGAAGAGGACAAAUAAUAGCCUGCAGAGACUCUGAUGCAGAAGCAUUACUUGUGAAGCCUCGCUGACAGGGAAGAGAACAGGAAUGAUGGGAGCUGCCAGGACGACGGGAGUGCUGAAAGUUGCUGCGAGUGACUGAGUGAGGGUUUUUUUGAAGGAAUUCACUGCAUUCCUCCAAACCAAACCGCUUCAGGUUCAGCCUGAGAAAACAGGUUGGAGUAGUUGAAAGCAGACACAAAAAUGCUACUUAAGGACAAGAUGAGCUCUGCGGACGUACAAUGAUAGGGACACUCAUAUGCACAGACUGAGGAGGAGAAGACCAGUGUCCUGCUCACGUUGAUGCCCUUGCUCCUAUGUAUUAACCUCGUCCUAAAAUCGGAGCUCAGAGUCUCACGUCUGCCUGCUUGCGCACAGAUGUCCUAGUCCUCCUUUUCUGGAGGAGGACAGGCAAGGCCAGUGAAAGGCUGACUCCUGAGACUCAAAGAGCAUCGUUUUCACCUUUUAGGUUCCUGAGAAGAUUAAAAUAGUCUCUGGCGUGUACAGAAGGAUGAAGGGAUGGAGUUAUAGCUGGGGAAAUCAUCUGGAACGCGAUAGUGAAAAAAGCAUCAUCCGUUCUAAAUGAGGCUUUCACCUACAGGAUGUGUAAGAAAGGUCUAAUAACUAUGGAAAUUACAUGAAGUCUGUAGAGCGCCCUUGGUCGCCCUUCUCAUCUGCGUUUCGAUGAGCAGCUGCAAGGAAGGAGUGCUGGAAACAACAGCAUUGAACAAGUCUUGCGUUCUGAGCUAGCAGUGUGGAGACAGGACGGCAGAUGGUAAAUGGGGUAAAGCCCUAGGUGUUUCGGGUUCAGCUCUAAACCUUGUCUUCCUGUGUGGUCAUCAUCGUGUAUUCUCUUAUAACCUUUUUUCAGCUAUGUGUAACAAAUAUAAUUCCUUC